rnacentral:rRNA from 1 species
UAGGGAAUCUUCCACAAUGGGCGAAAGCCUGAUGGAGCAACGCCGCGNGUGUGAUGAAGGGUUUCGGCUCGUAAAACACUGUUGUAAGAGAAGAAUGACAUUGAGAGUAACUGUUCAAUGUGUGACGGUAUCUUACCAGAAAGGAACGGCUAAAUACGUGCCAG